rnacentral:rRNA from 1 species
UACGUAUGUCGCAAGCGUUAUCCGGAAUUAUUGGGCAUAAAGGGCAUCUAGGCGGCCCUGUAAGUCUAGGGUGAAAACCUGCGGCUCAACCGCAGGCCUGCCCCGGAAACUACAGGGCUAGAGUAUCGGAGAGGUGGACGGAACUGCACGAGUAGAGGUGAAAGUCGUAGAUAUGUGCAGGAAUGCCGAUGAUGAAGAUAGUUCACUGGACGGUAACUGACGCUGAAGUGCGAAAGCUAGGGGAGCAAACAGG